UUAGCAACUUUUCAUCAUGAA
ensembl:piRNA 21ur-1696 ncRNA